AAGGUUUCGGGUACCCAGUGCCCAAACUUCAACACUAUGUUUUAACUAUACAUGUUUCUUUGCCGGUUUUGGCCGGCAGAAGUUUUCUCAAACUCAUUAUUAAUGUGUCUUCUGAAUCAAAACUAAAUAAAUUA
rnacentral:misc_RNA from 1 species